rnacentral:rRNA from 1 species
AUUGAACGCUGGCGGCACGCUUAACACAUGCAAGUCGAACGGCAGCAUGCCGUGUAGCAAUACACGGUGAUGGCGAGUGGCGGACGGGUGAGUAAUACGUAGGGAUCUGUCUUAUAGCGCAGGACAACUUGGGGAAACUCGAGCUAAUACUGCAUAAGCUCUAAGGAGGAAAGCAUGGGACCGAAAGGCCAUGCACUAUAAGGUGAACCUACGGUGGAUUAGCUCGUUGGUAAGGUAAAGGCUUACCAAGGCGAUGAUCCAUAGCUGGUUUGAGAGAACGACCAGCCACACUGGGACUGAGAUACGGCCCAGACUCCUACGGGAGGCAGCAGUGGGGAAUAUUGGACAAUGGGGGCGAACCCUGAUCCAGCGAUGCCGCGUGUGCGAAGAAGGCCUGCGGGUUGUAAAGCACUUUAGGUGGGAAAGAAAUAGCGAUUGUCGAAUAGACAAUUGAGCUGACGUUACCCCACAGAAUAAGACACCGGA